rnacentral:tRNA from 1 species
GUAAAUUGUAAAUUCUUUAU